rnacentral:rRNA from 1 species
CCUACGGGCGGCAGCAGUGGGGAAUAUUGCACAAUGGGGGAAACCCUGAUGCAGCGACGCCGCGUGAAGGAAGAAGUAUUUCGGUAUGUAAACUUCUAUCAGCAGGGAAGAAAAUGACGGUACCUGACUAAGAAGCCCCGGCUAACUACGUGCCAGCAGCCGCGGUAAUACGUAGGGGGCAAGCGUUAUCCGGAUUUACUGGGUGUAAAGGGAGCGUAGGCGGUGCAGCAAGUCAGAAGUGAAAGCCCGGGGCUCAACUCCGGGACUGCUUUUGAAACUGUUGAACUAGAGUGCAGGAGAGGUAAGUGGAAUUCCUAGUGUAGCGGUGAAAUGCGUAGAUAUUAGGAGGAACACCAGUGGCGAAGGCGGCUUACUGGACUGUAAAUGACGCUGAGGCUCGAAAGCGUGGGGAGCAAACAGGAUUAGAUACCCCUGUAGUC